GAUGAACGCUGGCGGCGUGCCUAACACAUGCAAGUCGAACGGGGGUAGCAAUACCCUAGUGGCGGACGGGUGAGUAACGCGUGAGAAUCUGCCUUCAGGUCGGGGAUAACGACGGGAAACCGUCGCUAAUACCGGAUGUGCCGAGAGGUGAAAGAUUUAUUGCCUGAAGAAGAGCUCGCGUCCGAUUAGCUAGUUGGUAGGGUAAAAGCCUACCAAGGCGACGAUCGGUAGCUGGUCUGAGAGGACGAGCAGCCACACUGGGACUGAGACACGGCCCAGACUCCUACGGGAGGCAGCAGUGGGGAAUUUUCCGCAAUGGGCGAAAGCCUGACGGAGCAACGCCGCGUGGGGGAAGAAGGUCUUUGGAUUGUAAACCCCUUUUCUCAGGGAAGAAGCUCUGACGGUACCUGAGGAAUCAGCCUCGGCUAACUCCGUG
rnacentral:rRNA from 1 species